rnacentral:tRNA from 1 species
GGGGAUGUAGCUCAAUUGGUAGAGCAAUUACAAUGCAUGUGAAAGAUCUUGGUCCGACUCCUUGCGUCUCCA